ACCCUCUCAAGGUUGCACUUGGAGAGUUCCCAGGACUCUGCCAGUCUCGGCUAUGGGAGGGAGAGACAAGCAGAGGCCUACCCAUUCCAAUCCUAGCUUGGACUGUGGCUAGCGAGGGGAAGGUAAUUGGCUACAAGU